UACAGAGGGUGCGAGCGUUGUUCGGAAUUAUUGGGCGUAAAGAGCUCGUAGGCGGUUUGUCGCGUCUGCUGUGAAAACCCGGGGCUCAACCCCGGACUUGCAGUGGGUACGGGCAGACUAGAGUGUGGUAGGGGAGACUGGAAUUCCUGGUGUAGCGGUGAAAUGCGCAGAUAUCAGGAGGAACACCGAUGGCGAAGGCAGGUCUCUGGGCCACUACUGACGCUGAGAAGCGAAAGCGUGGGGAGCGAACAGG
rnacentral:rRNA from 1 species